CUUUUUUUUUUUAAAGAUUUAUUUAUUAGUACACUGUAGCUGUCUUCAAACACUCCAGAAGAGGGGGUCAUUACGGAUGGUUGUGAGCCACCAUGUGGUUGCUGGGAUUUGAACUUCGGACGUUCAGAAGAGCAGUCAGGUGCUCUUACCCACUGAGCCAUCUCACCAGCCCCAGGACAGUUAACUUAAGGAGAGCAGUUACUGGAACUAGGUUUAUCUGAGAUGUCUUUGUUGUCACCAUUAACAUCACAUGGCUCUUGUAAUAGACUGAAUGUUUACUUAGUUUUUGCAUAAUUUGUUAGUGGGCAACACAGGACCAGCCAAAGUUGUGUCAAGAGGAUUAUAAUAGAUAUCAAAAUCCUUGAGGGUAUUUGUUCAAUGCCGAUGUUCUAUAAAAUAGAUUUUUAAAUUUUUCUCGCUUUUAUCAGCAUUAGUAUAACUGACAUGAAAGGCUAAUUGGACUUUAUGUAGUUUAGGAAAGCCUCAUGCAUUCAGCCACUAUUAAAUUUUAAAUAACUCCAUUCUGGAUACAUCUAAUGGAUGAAAAGGAACAUGAAAGGAUUUGAAUUGUGAGUCCAUUCCUUGAGUAUUUAUGUGGAGAUUUAAAAAAAAAAAAAAACCCGGUUAUUGAUGAGAAAGUACUUUCUAACUGAAAUUUAUUAAAAUUUCAAAAGGUAAAAUCCUAUAUUUAUGUCCUCUGCCUACAUAUGAAGAUGAACUAUACAUUUGUAGCAGGAGAAGAAAGUCCACAGGAUCCUUCAUCUUUUAUUCUUGCUGAGGCCAUUUCAGGUUUGACUAGAAUUUGAUUUUCUUGAUAGAGAAUUUUGUGGAAAAUUGCACAACUCUAUUCUAGAAACUGGAGAUCAACUUGGCUAUGAUAAUUCAUCCUGGCUUUAGUUAAAUGACCUGUGUAUUUAAACCUCCCCCUCUGGUUAUCUGCUUAUCUUGGCUUCUGUUAAACUGCCUGUUCAGAUAAAAGCUGAAUAAGUAUUAAAUACUUCAAUGUACUCAGAGCUGGCUGGAAUAAAGACCAGCAAUUGGUUAU
rnacentral:lncRNA from 1 species